UACGAAGGGGGCUAGCGUUGUUCGGAAUCACUGGGCGUAAAGGGCGCGUAGGCGGCUUUAUAAGUCGGGGGGUGAAAGCCUGUGGCUCAACCACAGAAUUGCCUUCGAUACUGUAGAGCUUGAGACCGGAAGAGGUAAGUGGAACUGCGAGUGUAGAGGUGAAAUUCGUAGAUAUUCGCAAGAACACCAGUGGCGAAGGCGGCUUACUGGUCCGGUACUGACGCUGAGGUGCGAAAGCGUGGGGAGCAAACAGGG
rnacentral:rRNA from 1 species